rnacentral:rRNA from 38 species
CGACUCUCGGCAACGGAUAUCUCGGCUCUUGCAUCGAUGAAGAACGUAGCGAAAUGCGAUACUUGGUGUGAAUUGCAGAAUCCCGCGAACCAUCAAUUCUUUGAACGCAAGUUGCGCCCGAAGCCAUUCGGCCGAGGGCACGCCUGCCUGGGUGUCGUGA